AUGAGCCAUACAAUGAAGCUAUGGGAGAGAGUCAUUGAGCACCGCUUAAGAAGAAUGACAAGCGUGACCAAAAAUCAGUUUGGUUUCAUGCCUGGGAGGUCGACUAUGGAAGCCAUUUUCUUGGUACGACAACUUAUGGAGAGAUAUAGGGAGCAUAAGAAGGACUUGCAUAUGGUGUUCAUUGACUUGGAGAAGGCCUAUGAUAAGAUACCGCGGAAUGUCAUGUGGUGGGCCUUGGAGAAACACAAAGUCCCAGCAAAGUACAUUACCCUCAUCAAGGACAUGUACAAUAAUGUUGUGACAAGUGUUCGAACAAGUGAUGUCGACACCGAUGACUUCCCGAUUAAGAUAGGACUGCAUCAGGGGUCAGCUUUUAGCCCUUAUCUUUUUGCAUUGGUGAUGGAUGAGGUCACAAGGGGUAUACAAGGAGAUAUCCCAUGGUGUAUGCUCUUUGCGGAUGAUGUGGUGCUAGUUGAUGAUAGUCAGACGGGGGUAAAUAGGAAGUUAGAGUUAUGGAGACAAACCUUGGAAUCGAAAGGGUUUAGGCUUAGUAGAACUAAAACCGAGUACAUGAUGUGCGGUUUCAGUACUACUAGCUGUGAGGAGGAGGAGGUUAGCCUUGAUGGCCAGGUGGUACCUCGGAAGGACACCUUUCGGUAUUUGGGGUCAAUGUUGCAGGAGGAUGGGGGUAUUGAUGAAGAUGUGCACCAUCGAAUCAAAGCCGUAUGGAUGAAGUGGCGCCAAGCUUCUGGCAUUCUCUGUGACAAGAGAGUGCCACAAAAGCUAAAAGGCAAGUUCUACAGGACGGCGGUUCGAUCCGCAAUGUUGUAUGGUGCGGAGUGUUGGCCGACUAAAAGGCGACAAGUUCAACAGUUAGGUGUGGCGGAGAUGCGUAUGUUGAGAUGGAUGUGUGGCCACACGAGGAAGGAUCGAGUCCGGAAUGAUGAUAUACGAGAUAGAGUUGGGGUAGCACCAAUUGAGGAGAUGCUUGUCCAACAUCGUUUGAGAUGGUUUGGGCAUAUUCAACGCAGGCCUCCAGAAGCUCCAGUGCAUAGCGGACGGCUAAAGCGUGCGGAGAAUGUCAAGAGAGGGCGGGGUCGACCGAUUUUGACAUGGGAGGAGUCCGUUAAGAGAGACCUGAAGGAUUGGAGUAUCGACAAAGAGCUAGCUAUGGACAGGGGUGCGUGGAAGCUUGCUAUCCAUGUGCCAGAGCCAUGA
rnacentral:rRNA from 1 species